rnacentral:rRNA from 1 species
GACGAACGCUGGCGGUGUGCUUAAUACAUGCAAGUCGAGGGACGAAACCAGAGUGGGUAACCACCCUGGCUGAAACCGGCGAACGGGUGAGUAACACGUGGGCAACGUGCCCCAGACUCGGGAACAACAACGGGAAACCGUUGCUAAUGCCCGAUAACCCCUGCGUACCGCAUGGCGUGCAGGGCAAAGCUCCGGCGGUCUGGGAUCGGCCCGCGGUGUAUCAGCUUGUUGGUGGGGUAACGGCCUACCAAGGCUAUGACGCAUAGCUGGCGUGAGAGCGCGAUCAGCCACACUGGGACUGACGACACGGCCCAGACUCCUACGGGAGGCAGCAGUAGGGAAUCUUGCACAAUGGGCGCAAGCCUGAUGCAGCGACACCGCGUGAGGGAUGACGG